AUGAUGGAGCUUCCGAAUCGACGAUCCACUCCGUUAAAUAUGAUUUAGAGUAUUUGAAACUUCUAGAAAAUAAAUUUCGUAAAUUUUCGAAAUCAUAAUAAAGUCCAUCACGUGGGCAUAAAAUGAACGGUCAAAAUUGAAUGACGUUCUAAAAAAGGAUGAUCGGAUCCUUCAAUUCAAGAUCGGAGUUAUUGAUCUUUAUCUAUGUAGUGAAUAGAAUUUUUUCUAUCAAAAAUUCAACAAAUUCUAUUUCUUAUACAUCGUUAAACUAGCAAGUAUCUCAUACCGGCCGUUAAAAAUUGUCAAAUUUGUGACCUCUUGAUCGUAAGAUAAAUGAUGUCGAAAAAUUAUAAAAUUUGAUUCUAGAAGUUUUAAAUGCUGUAAAUAACGUUUAACGGUGUGGAUCGUCGAUUCGGAAGCUCUAUCAUCGAAAACAACUUAUGAGUACGAGGGCGAUGAUACUCAUAAUAAUAUAGUAGCCGGACCCUAUAUAUAUAUAUAUAUAUAUAUAUAUAUAUAUAGUGCGGCUAGGAUGCUUAUGGAAGCACGGAGGGCUCCGUGCUUCCACUUUGUUUUCGAUGUUCGGACUUUCGAAUCGACGAUCGGUUCCGUUAGACUUGAUUUAGAGUAUUUGAAGUAUCUAGAAAAUAAAUUUUGCGAUUUUUCGAUAUCAUUU
rnacentral:lncRNA from 1 species